CUCAUCCAGUAUAAAUAUAAAACAGAAUCUUUGUUAACUCCUGGACUUGGCAAAAACGCUCUUUUACACCCUGCGUACAGCUCAUUCAUUUCUUCAAGUUCUGCCAUCAACUCAUCCUGAACGCAGGAGAAAGAGAGAAUUAUGGCGUCGACGUUUCAAGCCCCGGCUUUCCUCAAUAACGAGAACAUCUGCUACCCAAUUGAUAUGAAAUGGAGCCGUGGACCCCAAGGACCACCAUAACUAAAAUAAGCUGGGGAAGCUCUCGCCUU